UAGGGAAUCUUCCACAAUGGACGAAAGUCUGAUGGAGCAACGCCGCGUGAGUGAAGAAGGUUUUCGGAUCGUAAAACUCUGUUGUAAGGGAAGAACACGUACGAGAGUAACUGCUCGUACCUUGACGGUACCUUAUUAGAAAGCCACGGCUAACUACGUGCCAGCAGCCGCGGUAAUACGUAGGUGGCAAGCGUUGUCCGGAAUUAUUGGGCGUAAAGCGCGCGCAGGCGGUUCUUUAAGUCUGAUGUGAAAGCCCACGGCUCAACCGUGGAGGGUCAUUGGAAACUGGAGAACUUGAGUACAGAAGAGGAAAGCGGAAUUCCACGUGUAGCGGUGAAAUGCGUAGAGAUGUGGAGGAACACCAGUGGCGAAGGCGGCUUUCUGGUCUGUAACUGACGCUGAGGCGCGAAAGCGUGGGGAGCAAACAGGAUUAGAUACCCUGGUAGUCCACGCCGUAAACGAUGAGUGCUAAGUGUUAGAGGGUUUCCGCCCUUUAGUGCUGCAG
rnacentral:rRNA from 1 species